rfam:Salmo salar isolate Sally breed double haploid chromosome ssa14, whole genome shotgun sequence.
UGCAUUCACUACUGUAAGUUGCUCUGGAUAAGAGUGUCUGCUAAAUGAAUAAAA